UGAUCUCGUGGCCUAGUGGUUAGAGCGUCCGUCUUUGAUGCAGGAGGUCGCUGGUUCGAACCCCAGCCAAGUCAU